rnacentral:other from 1 species
UUUCCCCUGCCGUUCGCGUGAUGGGUGGCAUUUAUUCGAACCUAUUGUCCAUUUGGGGGACCGUUGCUGACGAUGCGUCCAUGAGCAAGCCCUCGCUUCGGCGAGAAGGAAGCCUGCGGACGCCAGCGCGCUCCCCACCUGUCUAACGGGUUCAAUGGACGCUUCCCACACGGCUCGGCGGGGGAUUU